CCUACGGGAGGCAGCAGUGAGGAAUAUUGGUCAAUGGUCGGGAGACUGAACCAGCCAAGCCGCGUGAGGGAUGAAGGUACAGAGUAUCGUAAACCUCUUUUGUCAGGGAACAAAGGCGGGGACGUGUCCCCGGAUGAGUGUACCUGAAGAAAAAGCAUCGGCUAACUCCGUGCCAGCAGCCGCGGUAAUACGGAGGAUGCAAGCGUUAUCCGGAUUUAGUGGGUUAAAGGGGUGCGCAGGCGGUCUGUUAAGUCAGCGGUCAAAGCCCGGGGCUCAACCCCGGCCCGCCGUUGAAACUGGCAGUCUCGAGUUGGAGAGAAGUAUGCGGAAUGCGCGGUGUAGCGGUGAAAUGCAUAGAUAUCGCGAAGAACUCCGAUUGCGAAGGCAGCAUGCCGGCUCCACACUGACGCUGAGGCACGAAAGCGUGGGUAUCGAACAGGAUUAGAUACCCUAGUAGUC
rnacentral:rRNA from 1 species